rnacentral:lncRNA from 1 species
AAAAUAAUGAUAUUAUUAAUCAAUGUUACAUAAAUCAGUCAUAAGUGAUGUUGGUAAUAAAACAAUAAUUAAUAUUAAGAUUAAUAACUAAUAUUAUUGAAAAAUGACAUUAAUACAGAUAAUUUUAAUCAUGCAUAAUUGUACAUUUAAAAUAAUCAUUAAUGAUUAAUAACGUUAUACUAUUAAUUAAUAUUACCAUUGAUAAUUAUUAAGACUGAUGUUUAACAAUUAAUAAUAUUAUUAAGAUUGAUGCUUAAUAAUUAAUCGUAUUAUUUCUCCUAAUACCGCAGGGGGUGUACACCUACCCGUGAUAUUGUUCCUAAUAUCCAGGGAUGGAGAGCAUGAUAUUAGUUUUAAUAUCUCAGUAGGUGUACACUCACCCUGUGACACUGAUCCUAAUAUCCAGGGAGUAGAGUAUGACAUGACUCCCAACAUAGCAAUGAAUGUACAGCCACCCGGUGAUAUUGCUCCUAGUAUUCACGGAAGAAGCGUAGGAUAUUACUUCCAAAAUCGCAGGGAGUGUACACCUCUUCUGUGAUAUUGUUCCUGGUAUCCCGAGGGGGAGAGGAUGAUAAUAAUUCCAGUAUCGCAGGCUGUGAUCACCCACCCUGUGAUAUUGUUAUUAACAUCCUGAAAGGGAGAGGAUGAUAUUACUCCCCGUAAUAGAUAGAUAUUACUCCCCAUAACAGAGCAGGAGGUGUACACCCACCCUGUGAUAUUGUUCCUAAUAUUCAGAGGCCGAGAGGUCGAUAUUACUCCCAAUAUGGCAGGAAGUGUACACCCCCGUGUGAGAUGGUCCUUAAUAAUAUUCCAAGGCGGAGGGGGAGAUAUUACUCCCAAAAUCGCAGAAAGUGUACACCCCCAGGGAUAUUGUUCUCAUGAUCCUGGAGGGAAGAGGAUGAUAUCACUUUAAAUAUCACAGAAGGUGUGCACGCCCCCACUGAUAUCGGUUCUAAUUUCCACGUGGGAGAGGAGGAUGUGACGCCCAAUCACACCUGCAGUAGAAACACAGCUGUGAUACUGUUCUUAAUAUUCAGGGAGGAAGACGAUGAUAUUACUCCCAAAACAGACGGCUGUACACCCUCUGCACACCGAGGGUCUACCCCCAUCUGUGAAAUAGUUUAUAAUUUCCAGAGGGGGAGAUGAUAUCACUCCGAAUAUCGUAAACAGGCUGCUUCGGUAGAUUGCAAAUGACCUGCUUUCUUUCGGAUCCCGGGCUGCUUUCGGACACCUGUCGAAUAGUAAAUCCCAAGUAAGGUACCUGCGGUCGUCGGCAGAUCUGAAUUUUCUUCUUGGACACCUAAUACCCACAGUCCUCCAGAGACCGAGAGGUUGAUGUCACUCCCAAUAUCGGAGGAAGUAUACACCCCCGUGUGAGAUGGUCCUUAAUAAUAUUCCACGGCGGAGGGGGUGAUAUGACUACAUACAUGGCAGAAAGUGGAAACCUCCCAGGGAUAUUGUUCCCACGAUCCUGGAGGGAAGAAGAUGAUGUUACUUUCAAUAUGACAGAAGGUGGAUGAAGUGGUGGACUGCCCCUCCACACCUGUGGACACGCCCCCACUGAUAUUCCUUCUAAUUGCAGCGUGGGAGAGGAGGAUAUGACACGCGAUAUCGCAGGGAGUAGAAACACCCCUGUGAUACUGUUCUUAAUAUUCAGGGAGGAAGAGGAUGAUAUUACUCCCAAUACAGACGGGUGUACACCCUCUGUACACCGAGGGUGUACACCUGUCUGUGAAAGAGUUCGUAAUCUCCAGAGGGGGAGAUGAUAUUACUCACAAUAUGAUGGACACGCCCCCACUGAUAUUGUUUUUAAUGCAGCGUGGGAGGGGAGGAUAUGACACGCGAUAUCGCAGCUGAGUGCCACGUGCUGACGUCACUAAGAUCAAUACAGCAAACUCUGAAAGAUGGACAGAGAGACAGGAGAUGGUCCUUUAUAAUGCAGUGUGAUCUGUGCUGCAAUAGAGUUUUGGAAGCUAGAAGUUCAAAACGAGGUGUUGGCAGCACCAUGCUCUCUCUGAAGAUGCUAGGAAGAAUCUGCUCCAUGCCUUUCCAUUCGCUUCUGGGGUUUCCUGCAAGCCCUGACAUUCCUUGGCUUGUAGAUGCAUCACCCCAGUUUCCGCCCCCAUCAUCACAUGGCCUCCUCUCUGUGUGUGCCUCUGCGUUCCCUCUAUUCUUCUUCUAAGGACACCGACACCAGUCAUAGUGGAUUAAGUGUCCACUCCUAACCAAUUACAUCUGCAACAACCCUAUUUCCAAAUAAAGUCACAUUC